ensembl:lncRNA
GUGGGAGAAUUCUUCUCAGAUGGGAUUCCAAUCAAUUAUAUUCACACCUCUGCGAAAAUUUAGCCAAUUCUUUAUGAAACCUGACAUAAAUCAUAUAUUGAAUAUAUUGAAUAUUUACGAAUGCUUAUUCCAGUAAGUGUCACCCGAGAUAAAGGCUUUAAUUUUGAUGUAAUGUUGACAUUACCUCACCGGAGUCAGGUGACAAUAAUUUGUGUGACAUAAGGUUGACACAGCUCCAGGGUCUCCGGUUCAAACCUAAGCUUGGGUUAUACGACGAGAUGUGCAUACACAGGAUUAUGGAUUGGCACCCUGUCCAGGGUGUACCCCGCCUUGUGCCCGAUGCUCCCUGGGAUAGGCUCCAUGUUCCCCCGUGACCCUGAAGAAGGAUAAGCAGUAUAGAAGAUGGAUGGAUGGAUACACAGGAUUGUUGAUGUUUUCUUUUAUCAUACUUGCACAAUAGCCUUUAAGAAGAACAAAAGAAGAAAAUACUGAAAUUAUUCUCAUGCCUGGAUCAGGAAGCUGUCGCAAGGUUGUGAUGGACUUUAAGAGGAGACGUGAGGAAUUAAUGAAGCUCUGGAAGGUGUGUGUAGG